UACGGGAGGCAGCAGUGGGGAAUAUUGCACAAUGGGCGAAAGCCUGAUGCAGCUAUGCCGCGUGUAUGAAGAGGGCCUUAGGGUUGUAAAGUACUUUCAUCGGGGAGGAAAAACAAAACUAAUAAUUUUAUUUCUUGACGUUACCCGAAAAAGAAGCACCGGCUAACUCCGUGCCAGCAGCCGCGGUAAUACGGAGGGUGCUAGCGUUAAUCAGAAUUACUGGGCGUAAAGAGCACGUAGGUGGUUUUUUUAAAGUCAGAUGUGAAAUCCCUGGGCUUAACCUAGGAACUGCAUUUUGAAACUGAAAUACUAGAGUAUCGUAGAGGGAGGUAGAAUUCUAGGUGUAGCGGUGAAAUGCGUAGAUAUCUGGAGGAAUACCUGUGGCGAAAGCGGCCUCCUAAACGAAUACUGACACUGAGGUGCGAAAGCGUGGGGAGCAAACAGGGAUUAGAUACC
rnacentral:rRNA from 1 species